GCUGGGUGUGGCGGCACACACCUGUAAUCCCAGCUACUCAGGAGGCUGAGGCAGGAGAAUCGCUUGAACCCAGGAGGCGGAGGUUGCAGUGAGCCAAGAUCGUGCCACUGCACUCCAGCCUGGGUGACAGAGUGAGACUCUGUCUCUU
rnacentral:SRP_RNA from 1 species